rnacentral:misc_RNA from 1 species
GUAACUAUUAAAGUUUUUCUGACGCUGACUGCAAUUGCAAAAGGUUUAAAAGGGUCCUACUGGCAGGCAAGCCUGCCGAGGAAACAAUGGGUGCGCAAAAAUCAUGGGUAAUGUUCCGACAGGGCGGGGAGAAAUGCUGAUCCCAAAGGAACUGCAAUUCAAGGCCGGCCCCCGUGAUAUAACGUUUAAUGAUCCUUCCGCAGGUUCACCUACGGAAA